UUAGGGCUUCACCCCCACUCCUCACCCCCAGUUCCUUGGAGAGAAGAGGGUCACUCGGGUCUUCAGAGUAGGGACCUGGCUGGGCCUGCUGGCUGGAGGCGGGAGGGUGCAGAGCCCCAGCCUGAGCUGGGACUUUAACAACCCCAGCGCCAGCCCCGCAGCCCGUGCCUGUCUUCGUGACAGGGCUGCGUCCUGUGCUGUCAACUACACCCCUCCGAUGGGGUUGCUAGGCAGCGGGGCUCUGAUGUGGGGGAAGGCCUUCUGAUUUGUCAGCCUCCUGCAGACACAUGGUUAAGGCUCCUUCCAGCCUAUCCGGAGGAGGGACGCGGGGCACGCUGCCUGCAUACUGCCGAGCCCCGGGUCCACCUGAAUGUGAGGUGCAAAAGGCAGCUAGAGGGAGGGGGCACCUGGAGCCCACCAGCCUCCUAACCAGCUCAGCCCCACGCCCCCAUUAUCUCCACUGGGGCUUGCUGCUGCCUCCUCCCUGUCUGUCCCUGCCCCAUUCCUCCCCUCUUCCCCAAACCAUGGAAAAGCAAAAUGCAGCGGGGAAAAGAGGUACUGUCUGAUGAGCGUGAAAGGCUGUUUCACUGACUUCCACAUCGACUUCGGAGGCACGUCUGUUUGGUACCAUGUUUUCCGGGGUGGGAAGAUCUUUUGGCUGAUUCCUCCAACCCUGCACAAUUUGGCACUGUAUGAGGAGUGGGUGCUGUCAGGCAAACAGAGUGACAUCUUCCUGGGAGACCGCGUGGAGCGAUGCCAAAGAAUUGAGCUGAAACAGGGCUACACGUUUUUCAUCCCUUCCGGUAGGUUCCAGCGAGCCUGGCGUCGGGCUCUCCCUCGGCCUGGCUCUCCCAGCGCUGGGAGAAGACUCCCACAUCCCUGUGGCCUCAGCCAGGGUUUCGGGCCAAGUGACGGGGUUCUGUGGGCUGCGUGGCCAUUGGCAGUCUCUGAGAGCACAUCUAACCUGUGUCUCCCUGCCUGUGGGCUAGAAUUCACUCCUGGGAUAAAGCCUAGGGCCCUCCCUCGGGGGAAGCGUGAAUGGCUUCCCCCAGGAAGUCCUGUGGAGAUUUCUGUGUAGGGGAUGACAGUGGUACUGUGGUGAGGGGGGUGGGUUUAUCCCCUUGAAGGAGGAAUUGGUUGGUUUCCCCAAGGAAUGCAACGUAUGGUAAUGGCGGUUCCAGGCAGGUUGUGGGGAAGGGUGGACCCCAGGGUGGAGGGUCUUACAGGCAUGCCUGAAAGCCUAGGGAAUGGGCAGAGGGGAAUGUAGCUUUGGGGAAGGACCCAAUGUGGUAGCCUCCUUCCUGCAGAACAAGGUGAAAUAUAGUCAAGGUCAAUGUCAGCUCUUGCACUUGGACUUACCCCCCACCCCCCGCCAAAAAAUUAAGAAGAAAAGAGAAAAAGAAAUUAAGGCUGCGAGUAUAAUAGAGGGCAGUAAUUGAGAGCGCUGGCCCUGGAGCCAGACUGCACGACCUUAGUUUGAAUUUCAGCUCUGGUGCUUACGAGCUAUGACUUCACAGGAGUGAGUUAAGCUCUCUGUGCCUCAGUGUUCUUGUCUGUAAAAUGGGAGUGAGAGUUCCCGGGGUGGUAGUGAGGACUGAGUGAGCUGAGACCUACAUGCCUACAGCUCUUUCGUCAUGGACUGAGGGCUUUUGGGCACUUAUAGGCUAAGGCACCAGUGAGUAUGACAGAUGCCCUAGGGGUCAGCGAGUGCAGUCUUGGGCUGCAUUAACAGUAACA